rnacentral:sRNA from 1 species
GCUGGGCAUGGUGGCUCAUGCCUGUAAUCCCACAGAUUUAGGAGGCUGAGGCAGGAGGAUCACUGGUUUGAGCCAGCCUCAGUAACUUAGUGAGGUCCUAAGCAACUUAGCAAGCAAGACCCUGUCUCAA